rnacentral:rRNA from 1 species
CCUACGGGUGGCAGCAGUGAGGAAUAUUGGUCAAUGGGCGCGAGCCUGAACCAGCCAAGCCGCGUGCAGGAAGACGGCUCUAUGCGUUGUAAACUUCUUUUAUAAGGGAAUAAAGGGAGCCACGCGUAUCUUUCUGAAUGUAUCGUACGAAUAAGGAUCGGCUAACUACGUGCCAGCAGCCGCGGUAAUACGGAGGUGGCCAGCGUUGUCCGGAUUUAUUGGGUUUAAAGGGAGGGGAGCCGGGAAGUCAAGUCAGAUGUGAAAGCCCGCGGCUCAACCGCUGAACUGCAUUUGAAACUGUCUUUCUUGAGUACCGGAGAGGUCAGCGGAAUGCGUGGUGUAGCGGUGAAAUGCGUAGAUAUAACGAAGAACACCGAUGGCGAAGGCAGCUUACUGGACUGCCACUGACGUUGAGGCGCGAAAGUGUGGGUAUCAAACAGGAUUAGAUACCCUUGUAGUC